rnacentral:lncRNA from 1 species
GGUAUCUGUUUUUCCCCCUCUUAGCAUAUGUAUACAUAAUACAUGUAUAUUUAUACUAUUUAUAAAUCAGUUAGUAUAAAUUUUUAAAUUUUUCUGGGAAGAAUGAUGAUUUACUGGUUUUGAGUUUUUUAAAGGGAAUUGUUAUUCCUAUAAUAAAAGUUGAUUUUUCAUAUGACGAGUGUGAGUCCCACUUACAAUUCAUGAGUACCUCGCGGAACUAUAAAUGCCCUUUUAAAAAUUAUAUAAGUGCAAAAUGCCAGUGACUCUUUGAUUAAUAUGUUUUGAACAGUGUUUUUCUUGAUUAUUGAACUUUAGGUGAUUUAAGUUUGAACGAUAACUCUCUUCUAAAACACGUGCAACAAGAAACAUUUUAUUGUGUACUUUUUAUAUGUAAAUGUUUAUUUUAAAUAAAGUAUUAUUUAUGUAUUUUUCUGGGAAGAAUGCUGAUUUACUAUGGUUUUGAGUUUGAAAAUUAUCUAACAUGCAGUUAGAAUGAAACUGACGUUUUGAUUAAAGAAGUUUGAUUAGUAUUUUUCUUUUCUUAUUGAGUUUAGGUGAUUUAAGUCGAAUAAUGCUUUAGAAAAUGUUGCAGCAAGAGGCCUUUACUACAUAUGGAAUUACUUCUUUUGAAUAAUUUAGUGAUAUGAAAUAAACUGUUUAAGA